UAACGCGAAGAACCUUACCAAAUCUUGACAUCCUUUGAAAACUCUAGAGAUAGAGCCUUCCCCUUCGGGGGACAAAGUGACAGGUGGUGCAUGGUUGUCGUCAGCUCGUGUCGUGAGAUGUUGGGUUAAGUCCCGCAACGAGCGCAACCCUUAAGCUUAGUUGCCAUCAUUAAGUUGGGCACUCUAGGUUGACUGCCGGUGACAAACCGGAGGAAGGUGGGGAUGACGUCAAAUCAUCAUGCCCCUUAUGAUUUGGGCUACACACGUGCUACAAUGGACAAUACAAAGGGCAGCUAAACCGCGAGGUCAUGCAAAUCCCAUAAAGUUGUUCUCAGUUCGGAUUGUAGUCUGCAACUCGACUACAUGAAGCUGGAAUCGCUAGUAAUCGUAGAUCAGCAGGUAAAGGAGUCC
rnacentral:rRNA from 1 species